CUCCUAGCCAAAGGUCUGGUUGUAAGAGCUGUUGUUCUGAAAGAGUAAAAAUCGAGAGGAUGUCUGAUUAUGUGUAAAGCCAGCAAUUAACUAGCGUAACAGGGUUUUCCACAAGCAAUGCCCUUGGCAAUUGUCAGUUUGAUUCUGAUACGAGCACUAAUUUCCGUGGACCUUAUCGGCAAACACCAACACGUUAGUAGCUGUCGAACUAAUCGGCGAUGUUUCACCCGCCCCGUCGAAGAGUUUUACUUUUUAUCAUCAUCGGGUUUGGCUGCUGCAUCAUCUUGUUCAUGAACCAAUUACUUUACACACAACAAUUCCAGUCAAUUGCAAACAUCAAAGAGUACACCAAUGGAAUAAUUAUCGACGACGAAAAUAACGAUCUCUACUCAAAAGUGCGCGUGUUGUGCUGGGUUAUGACGUCACCCGACAAUCACAAAACAAAAGCGUUGGCAGUCAAAGAAACGUGGGGUAAACGCUGUAACAUUUUGCUGUUUAUGAGUUCCGCAGAAGAUUCAAUGUUACCAACUGUGAAUCUGCCCGUGCGUGAGGGCCGAAACGGACUAUGGGGUAAAACACGGGAGGCAUUUCGUUACGCAUGGAACAAUUACAGAGAUCAAGCAGACUGGUUUCUGAAGGCUGACGAUGACACUUAUGUUAUUGUUGAGAAUUUGCGAUAUUUCCUAUCAGCCUUUAACACAUCGACACCGUUGUGGUUCGGCCACAAGUAUAAAGUAAUUGUUAAAUCAGGAUAUUUCAGCGGUGGGGCUGGUUAUGCGUUAAGUAAAGAAGCGACCAGGAGAUUCGUCGAAGAAGGUUAUUUUAACGCACUCAAAUGUCGACACGAUCACGAAGGGGCGGAAGAUGCAGAAAUGGGAAAAUGCAUGGAAAAUCUGAACGUCUCGACAAUGGACACGCGGGACUCUAAAGGAAGAGGGCGAUUCUUUCCUUUUGUUCCAGAGCAACACUACUUUCCUGGUAAAAUUACACCAAGUUAUUGGUAUUGGAAUAAUAUUUAUUAUCCACCCACAAAGGGUAAAGAUUGUUGUUCUGACAGUGCUAUAUCCUUCCACUACGUCAAUCCUCAAUUGAUGCACAUAUUCGACUAUUUGAUUUAUCAACUUCGCCCUUAUGGAAUGCCAGCCGAUCAACGACCCGCAACUCCCGAACCACCCCCAGACUUAAAUCUGACUGCUUUACCGUGGUUCGCCCCUCCAGAUGAAAUCAUUACUAUUCCUAGCACAAGCACAACUGAAAAAAAUAGUGUACUUCCACCAACUAUGUUAAACACAACUCUAUCCGCACAACAGAACGCAACUAUAAACCAAACACAAUUGAACUUGACUGAUGCCAUUUUUUCCAAUUCGACAAAUCCAGAAAAUAUUGUUGAUCUUACUCCUAAAAGUGCUACUACUAUCCAAACUGCACUGAAUUCGACGGAAGCUAAUUCUUUCAAUUUGACAAGUCCUGAAAAUAUUGUUGAACUUACUUCAAAAACAAAAAGGGCGGGAGUAGUAAACAAAUUACGGAGUGCAAUUUUCGGAUAAUACAACUUUUUUCUACAUUCCGAUUCUUUUUCAAGCACAUGAAAACUUUUUAUGAACUGACGGUGUGCCUCACAGUGGGCGAAAAAAUUUCGGAGAAUGAUUCAAUAAUAAUAAUAAAAAAAACUUUUAUCUUGAUUGCAUUUAAGAUAACCAGCAUAAAUUUAUCAUAAAUAAAGUAAGUAAUCGAGGUAUUAAUUACGUAACACCUUCAGAAAUUGCUGCAGACGAAAUUGACUGCACCCUUAUCGUAUUUUUUGAAAUUUGACAGAGGUUGUUGGGGGGGGGGGGGACAAUAGGAAAGAAGAGAAACAACCAGAAUCGACAGAAGGGUUUGCUAAUAUUUGGCAGUUAACUAUAGCGCAACAAGGAUUUCAGGUUUCUUUUAGUAAUGCCCUAGGCAGUUUUCAGUUUGAUUCUGAAACGAGUUUUAUUUUUCUAUUGUUGACCCUUUCGACAAAAACCAACAGGCUAGUGUUGGUAUCUGUUGAAUUGUUCUACCUGAUCACCAUGUCGAUAUCGAGUGCAGGAUCGACGAUGUUUCACCUGCCACGUCGAAGUUUAUUAUUUUUUGUAAUUGUUGGUUUUAGUUGCUGUGUCAUCUUCUUCAUGAACCAGUUACUUUAUGUACAACAAUCCCAGUCGAUUGAAAAUUUCAAAGAAUACGCCAACGGAAUAGCUAUCGAAGACGAAAAUAACGAUCUCUACUCAAAAGUGCGCGUGUUGUGCUGGGUUAUGACGUCACCCGACAA